UUAUUGGCAUUUGAUCCUCUGUUACAGAAACUUGAAACUUGCACGCAAUAACUUCAAACCCAAAAACCUUAGAAAAACACCUGUCCGUCCAGUAACCCUCCUUCCACAGGUCAACCAACUUGUUCUCGCACUCACAAAAUCAAAAUCCUUUGCCGGGCAAAACUUGACUGCUGUGUGGCUGCUGGUGGAUGCCCCAGCAAACUAGAACUAAUUUUAAACGAACCGAACCGAAAUAAUUGGCAGCAACUGCCACGGCGCGCCAGCCAGCAAACUCGUCAAAAGUCGCGCGCUCAAAUCCACUUCCGUUAAUUGGCCUGCCGGCGGUGCGGUGUUCAGCCCAACCAAACACGAGCAAAGAGAGCGUCAACUCCGCCGGGCACGAUCCACCCCGGGGAUGACUAAUUCCGCAGCGGAAAGUUCUGCCCAGGAGUUCCAGCCCGGAGCUUCUGGGUCGACAUGACGGGUUUCCGGUUUUGGUGCUGCUUGGAGAAAAAUCUUACCAACCAUCCGGUGAAUGGUGAACUGAACUGAACCAAGAAAAAAAAAAUACGUCGGCAAAAAAAGCAGCAUUCGUUGGAACGUUUUUGCCUCGGUGCAGUUUCGGAGCAAAGCAGAAGCAUAUCAUUAAAAAGUUUUGCAAAUAAACUACGGCAUAGAUUUCUCUCUGUA